AAUCGGGUACGGUUCAAGGGACAGGCGCCCAAUCCCGCCAGGUCCGGAAGGAAGCAACGGUAAGCGUUCUGUGUCUGUGAUCCUCUCUACUCGAUUGGA
rnacentral:SRP_RNA from 1 species